GAUGAACGCUGGCGGCGUGCCUAAUACAUGCAAGUCGAGCGAAUGGAUUGAGAGCUUGCUCUUAUGAAGUUAGCGGCGGACGGGUGAGUAACACGUGGGUAACCUGCCAUAAGGCUGGGAUAACUCCGGGAAACCGGGGCUAAUACCGGAUAACAUUUUGAACCGCAUGGUUCGAAAUUGAAAGGCGGCUUCGGCUGUCACUUAUGGAUGGACCCGCGUCGCAUUAGCUAGUUGGUGAGGUAACGGCUCACCAAGGCAACGAUGCGUAGCCGACCUGAGAGGGUGAUCGGCCACACUGGGACUGAGACACGGCCCAGACUCCUACGGGAGGCAGCAGUAGGGAAUCUUCCGCAAUGGACGAAAGUCUGACGGAGCAACGCCGCGUGAGUGAUGAAGGCUUUCGGGUCGUAAAACUCUGUUGUUAGGGAAGAACAAGUGCUAGUUGAAUAAGCUGGCACCUUGACGGUACCUAACCAGAAAGCCACGGCUAACUACGUGCCAGCCGCCGCGGUAA
rnacentral:rRNA from 1 species